rnacentral:misc_RNA from 1 species
GAUGAAGAACGCAGCGAACUGCGAUAAGUAAUGUGAAUUGCAGAAUUCAGUGAAUCAUCGAGUCUUUGAACGCACAUUGCGCCCCCUGGCAUUCCGGGGGGCAUGCCUGUCCGAGCGUCAUUGCUGCCCUUCAAGCCCGGCUUGUGUGUUGGGUCGUCGUCCCCCCCGGGGGACGGGCCCGAAAGGCAGCGGCGGCACCGCGUCCGGUCCUCGAGCGUAUGGGGCUUUGUCACCCGCUCGAUUAGGGCCGGCCGGGCGCCAGCCGGCGUCUCCAACCUUCUAUUUUACCAGGUUGACCUCGGAUCAGGUAGGGAUACCCGCUGAACUUAAGCAUAUCAAUAUGCGGAGGA